rnacentral:sRNA from 1 species
CAACCCACUGUCUGUGCUAUGACUUCAUUACUCUUUCCCAGCCCAGCCCUGGGCAAGCCCCUUACGAAGUCUCAGGCUACCUGGAUGACCAUCCUUUCUUAUGGUGCUGCAAGGAGGGCAGGUGGGCAGAGCCCUGCGCAUCCUGGGCUCAGGCCAGGGACCCAAGAGCUUGGGAGAAGCUGGUUCUCAGACUGAAGGCCAGAGCCCAGCACCUUGUCACCAUCCUGAGGAGCAUCAUGGCACACAACAACCAGAGCCAAGGCGACAGCUAGAGAGUUGACUCCUCUAUUUGAGAUUGACAGGCCUCGGAAGUCAAAAUAAGUGGUUUCCUGGACCUGGUCGAGAGCAAGUCUCUAUUGGUCCCAAAUGAGUUUUUUCAGCUGGUUUUUCAGCCAAACAGCACCUCAUCUCCCAGUGAAGGGAAGGGAAGGCUGGGCUGACAGCAGCAAGGCUGCUCAUCUCACCUCUCCCCACCCAGCCAUGCCAGCCGCCACACCUGGUGGGGAGAGGUGGGCCUCACCUGGGUCCCCUGGCAGUGGUCUGUGAAGGGUCUUGACAUUGCACUGUAAUAAUAAAGGUGUGUGUGAAGUAUC